rnacentral:rRNA from 1 species
CAGUAGCCGCGGGAAUACGUAGGGUGCAAGCGUUAAUCGGAAUUACUGGGCGUAAAGCGUGCGCAGGCGGUUCGCUAAGGCAGAUGUGAAAUCCCCGGGCUUAACCUGGGAACUGCAUUUGUGACUGGCGGGCUAGAGUAUGGCAGAGGGGGGUAGAAUUCCACGUGUAGCAGUGAAAUGCGUAGAGAUGUGGAGGAAUACCGAUGGCGAAGGCAGCCCCCUGGGCCAAUACUGACGCUCAUGCACGAAAGCGUGGGGAGCGAACAGGAUUAGAGACCCCCGUAGUCCCUGUCUCUUAUAC